rnacentral:rRNA from 1 species
UGGGGAAUAUUGCGCAAUGGGCGAAAGCCUGACGCAGCGACGCCGCGUGUGGGAUGACGGCCUUCGGGUUGUAAACCACUGUCGGGAGGGACGAAUGCCCCGCAAGGGGAGUGACGGUACCUCCAAAGGAAGCACCGGCUAACUCCGUGCCAGCAGCCGCGGUAAUACGGAGGGUGCGAGCGUUGUCCGGAAUCACUGGGCGUAAAGGGCGCGUAGGCGGCCUGAUAAGUAGGGGGUGAAAUCCUGCGGCUUAACCGCAGGGCUGCCUUCUAAACUGUCGGGCUCGAGCACAGUAGAGGCAGGUGGAAUUCCCGGUGUAGCGGUGGAAUGCGUAGAGAUCGGGAAGAACAUCAGUGGCGAAGGCGGCCUGCUGGGCUGUUGCUGACGCUGAGGCGCGACAGCGUGGGGAGCAAACAGG